CGGCUAGAAAGAGAGAAAGAGAAAGGUAAAGAAACAAGUAGAAUAUCUAGCAGAACAUUGUUCCAAGGACACUGAGAAAGAGCCAUUACACACAUGCUCAUGCAUAUACAGGCCAGCAGAAGUGGUUAUGAUCUGUAAUGAUUUUAACAUUGUCACCUUUCAUUUAUCUAGUAGUAAUGAAAAUUACGUAUUUUUUCAUAUGCAAAUCUUUCUCAAAGCUGAAGUCAUUCCUUCUAAUACUAAUAAGAAAUAUGAAACUAUUUGAAAGCCAUCUGAAACAUACUGCACAUAUCUUAGCCAAUAAAAUAUAAUAAUUACAUAGAAUGAACUCAGGAACUAAUAAAGUAUAUUGUUUCAGACAAUGAUGGUUUUUGAAUUUUUAUUUCUCACAUAUAAUUUUCCUCUUCUUUUUCUUUCAGGAUAUUAUCACUUCUCAUUGCCUUUAUAACUUUCUCCAGUUUGUUCUAUAUUAUGCUUGUAAUUUGCAGAGCACUAAAAAUCAGAAAAGCAAGGCUUUAGAGUUCUCUGUAGCAAGUGUAAAUAGGCUUAGUGUGAGUGCCUGUUUAAAUUGCAGGAGCUCUAGUUCCUAUUUUGGGUCUUAAAGAUUUUAGUAUUACUAAUAGUAGUAUUACUCACUUUCUAGUUGGCAGUGAUGUUUCUGGUAGCUGAGUUUACUGAGCAAACGUACUUGAGAUAAUGAAAUAUUACUGUAUUUGAGAGUCUCAACAUUACUAAGCAAUAUUAUUUAUUACUUAUUAUUAUAUUAUUUAUUCCUCAAGCUUCUACAUUUAUUUACUGAAUAUAUUAAUAAGUUUUUUAGUGUAUUUGUGUACUUGACUUCAUAUGUGGUAUCUUGGGUAGUCAUUUUAUACCCCCACAAAUUUGACAAAGUCUAUAAAUUGAAAUGUUUCUUUUUGAUAAAACUCUGCAACUGAUUUUUUCAGAAAGACUCCUUCUGGAAUUAUAGUCAUAAAAUUUUCUUCUGUAUUAGAAACUCUAAAUUGAUCAAAUUGAAUGUCCUUUCUCAGGUAUGAAGAAGUAAAGUUAGAAAAAUGUAAGAAAGCAAUUAUGAAAUGUUGAUGAAAAAUCAUAGAACUAUAAAAUUAAAUUACAGUCAAGGAAAAAUCAAAGCAGAAGAGAUAUUGUUGAUUAAUGGUGAAAACAUGAACGAUUUAGGCACAAACUCAUAGAUAUUAGUAGAGUUCCUUUUACCUCAUGCACUUGAAAAAUGGUUAAGAGGCUUUAAAGGAAAUCUUUCUUUAGGGAGGGGCAAAGCACUGGAAUUACAGGUGUGAGCCGUGGUACCCAGCCUUAUUUUCAUUUAAAAUGGCCAUAUAUGUUUAACUUAUGUCCUGAAUCUUGAAUCUGCAUAAUUUUCAUCUUUGAUAUGAAGUUUCUGAAGGCCACAGGUCACACCCACUGAACUUGUUUCAUACAUGUAAUUACAUUCUCAGUGUCAUUUUGGUCAUCUUCUGAGACUACUAAUUAAUCAUUCAGGACUUACUUCAGUGAAGUCUUCUCUGACCUGCCUUCCCCUCUCCUGAUACAGUUGUUCGUACAGUAUCUCAACAAAUCUCUAUUAUUAGUCAUCACACUGAACUCUAAUUAGGCUCUAUUAUCUUCACUGAUUAGAAAUGAGCUAUGUCUUAAUCAUCUUCAUGUAACUGCAGUAUCUAGCUCACUGCUUGUCAUUCAGUCACUGAAUGUUUGAUAACUGAAUGAAAGAAAGUUCCUCCUAGAAUCAAGAAAUAACUAAUGAAUGCUUGUGAUAUCCAUUGGUCUUAUAAAUACAAGGAUAUUUGUGAGUAAAUCAUGGCUAUAGCAAAAAAAAAAAAGUAGCUAAAGUGACAUGUAGGAUUGAUAUCUUUAGCGACUCUAAAGUAUCUGACUGCUCAGUUCUUUAGUAGAUAUUUGGAAUAAAUACCAAAUAAUAAGCCUCCUGCCCUCAGGGAGUUUGACAAAUAAUCAUGUACCCUAUGGAAAUAUAUUCUUAGCAAUUAACCAGUUGGCUGGUGGGAGGAGAGAAAUGGCCAGAAUUUGAACUUUAAGGAGGGAAAUUCUACCAGAAGUUUUGAUAAUGGAAUUAAUUAGGGGAUUUCAUUAAAUUAAAAAGUUGAUUUUAGACUACAAAUUCAGUGAGAAGUAGGAUACAGCAUGGCAUGAUGGAUUGGAAAUCAUUUCAUGAAUAUGUAAUAGCUUGUAUCAAGGCUUGUAGCCAAGAGAGAAAAGAAUGAAACUGACUUCUCUUUUGAUGCUUUUGUUCUUGGCUUAACUGUUAUUCCUCAGUCCUUCUGGACCAUCCCAUAGUUUUCCCCACUUCCUCUGCCUUCCUCUAUUACUUCAUGUUUGUGUCUCUCACAGCAAGUAACCCUGUUUGUGAUUAUGUAUUUAUUUAUUAGAUUAUUACCAGUGCCCCCCAAAUAGAUUCAAAAUUCCUUGAGAAAAGAGACUACAUAUUUUGCGUUUAUUACAUAUAUUCAGCAUUUGGUACAAUGUGAUUAGAAGGCAGUGGUUAAGUAUUUGUUGAAUAAUGGACAAAUGAAGAAAUGACUGAAAAGUGCCUAAACAAGAUGUUUAACUAGGCUAGAGUUUAGGCUAGAUCAAGGUGAGUAGGUCUAGUGAGGCCAAGGAUGCUACACUUUUAAGGCAUUUGUCAGAAGCUUAUGUUUGGGUACUAAGUUUACAUAGAAAGAGUCCUGGAUCAGAAGUUAGAAAAUGUGGAUUCUAGCUCCAGUUGCCAAAUUGUACAAUCAGACUAGAUGAUCUGUGUCAAGACUUCCAGUUAUAUAUUGCAGAGAUUAUUUAUUGAGCAUCUAAUAUGUGGACUGCCUCAUGCUACAUGACUUUAAAGAGCUCAGCAUCUAUUCAGAAUGGAAGAUGAGUGGAAUAAAACAAAUAUGUAAGUAGCUUUGUUAUAGUACUCCACUUUAAGUGGAAAAAUAGGGCAAAAUUUUAUAAUUUGGAGUCUGAGAAUACACUCUGGGAAGUCUGAAAAUACAAUAAUGUGGUCAAAGUAAUGGCAAACAUGAUUGUAACUGCUGCAUAUAAAACUUGGAAGUAAGGGAAUGUAGGUCUAUAAUGAGUGAAACUGGAACUUAAAUGAUGGUGACUGAAGGGAAGAAUUCAAUGGUGUGGAUAGAGAAUAGAAAGACUUAAGUACUCUUAUGGCACAGUAAAUUCUCAUUAAUAUCUGCUUUAAUCCUUGGACUAUGUGGCUGGGACAAGAGGCCAAUAGUAGUAGGCAGUUGCAGAAAGAAGUCAGGACAGGAGAUGAGGAGAACAUAUGGUUCUGCUAUGUGCCAGGUCUACUGUUAGUCUUAUUCACUACCAUGUCCCAUAACUUAGCGUGGCCUGUGGUUCAUAGUAUUGUUUUUUCCCAAGUCAAUCAAUCAAUCAGGAUAACUUAUUCAUUAUGAGCUCUUUAAGGAUGUCCCUAGGGACAUGCAUUCAAUAGGCACUGCAUAGCUAGAUGGUGAAUUAAUAAUUAAAAGAAUAAAAGAUAAAAUGUUCAUGUUCUCUCAAAGUAACUAUGAUAUCUUGGAAAUAUGCCUAGUUUCAGUUAAAGGAACCCAUAUAUGUACUUAGUAAUUAAAAAUCCUAAAGAGCUCCUCACUAACCCUUGCAGAAGAAAUAAGCAUUUUAUUUAUUUUUUUUCUAAAACAAUAACAAAAAUCUGUAUGUACAACCCUACUAGAAAGCAAUUCAGGGUGAAUUUUCUUAAUAUGCAAUGCUAAGAUGUUUGCCAACUUCAACACCAGAAAACAUUUAAAGUUUACUGUUAAAGUUCAUUUCAUUGGUCCAGCUUCUAACCAUUCAAAGAGUUUCCAAAGACAUUCACCUCACAAGACAGUUUGUUUUGGGGAAAGCAAAGUUAUUGUUUUGUACUAAAUUUUCCUCAGUUGCUUUGUUUAGUGAUGAGCUUCGUUAAGUAAGGCAUUAUAUUGAAAUGGAGCAUCUUGUAUCACUUAGUAUUUAUUGAAACACUGUGUUGUAUGUGGGCGGUUUAUGGUUACAUAGAAGAGCCAAGUUUCUUCUUUCAAAUCAAAGGGAAAGAUGUAAUACUUGAAGUUGUAUUUGUAGCUGCAGGGAUGGACUGUUUGCAGUAUUGCGGACAAUGACAAAUUUUGUAAGAAAGUCAAAUGCUCAUGCAGGGUGGGUGGCAUUGUGGGGGAGAAACUGGCUUUACCGAUAAGAGAGAAGAAUGCAUCAUUGUUUUCUUGCCUUAUUUUAUUGUCUUUUAAGAAUAGAAGAACUAAAAUUUCAUCUGCUCUUCUUUGGAUUAGCUGGUCCUGAGUGUUCAUGAUAAGAGGCCCAUUUUAACAGGAGUUAAGGGAGACCUCAAUAGGGCAAACUGCUUUGGUGUAUCAGUUUGUGGGGUGGGUGUGAAAACCACCUUUCCUCUAGCUUCUUGCCUCCAGCUAGCAUAAUACUGAUUUGUGAAAUGGAUUGGUCUUUCUGUCCCUGCCCUUAUUUCUCCUUAGGAUGGGAAGCAGGAAUUAUCUGACUGGUAAAUGUGUAAGCCAGAAUGGGCCUAUGUAGCUCAUUCUUCUUCCAUUCCUAUGCUUGCACUAAGAUCUCAUGACUUCCAGUGCAGAAUUCUUUCUAUUGGGCAGUUAGAUUGACAUGCUCUAGGCAAUGGUUCUCAAAUUGGACCUUGCAUCAGAAUUCCCUGGAAGCCUUGUUAAAACACAGCUUGCUGGGUGCCACCCAACGUUUCUAAUGGGGUAGGAUAUUUCUAACAAGUUCCCACAUGCUGCUGGUCCUGGGAUUAUGCUUUGAAACCACUGCUCAGUAAAAAAAAGAUUUUUACUUUGCUUUAUUAGCAAUUCAAUUUACUUGCCAGGUAAAGUAAAAACAAAAAGAGAAAGUGCUGGAAAAUCUUAAGAAGGAUGAAGAAAUAUUGUAGAAACACUUUGAUACCUUUGGGAAUUAGACUUAAGCAUGGGUGAAAGCAGUUUUAGCCUUAUGUUGUAAAGACCAAGAUACUGUACUAUAGUGUUUGUUGUUGUUGUUGUUAGUCAUUACCAGAAGAAUAACUACUACUUGCUUAGGGAAGCUUGUAUUUGCUUAUGAAAAUAAAUAGAAGGUAAGCAUCUCUAAAUGUGCAUUCCAAAUUCUAAUCUUUGGAGAGGGUAGGAUUGAAGUCCAACAUAAUUAGUUAGGUGGACCCAAAUUAAAAGAAAGGCUUCAAAAAGAUAUACGAAGACUGACAUUUUUAGAGAAGAUAUCUGCUUAAAAGGGUAGUUAUUUGCAUUAAAAGGAUAUGCAAUAGCUUCCUUUACACUGCAAGUUUUACUUAUAAAUUAUAAUUGAAAGUUUAAAAUAUAACUCUCAAAAUUCAGUUUACAUACAUCUAGGAUCAAGGGAGAGUUAUACAUCCCAAGUUUCCAAGGGCCACUAGAAUCUGAUAUCAACUUGCCUACCAUUUUUUAACUUAUUUAUGAUUAAAAAAACGAAGGGUUUUAUCUACAAAAACCAUUUUCUGUGUUUUUAGGAAUUGAAAUGCUUUACUUCUCAACGACCCUCUUGAAUCAUUUAAUGCUUGCAUCUUUUUUUUUUUUUUUAAGUUUUAGGUGUGCAUGCAUAUCUUAUCAUCUGAACAAUAUUCAAAACCUUCUAUGAACCGAGAUUACUCCUACACCUCUUGCAGCUUUCCAUAGCACCUGCUGAGGGCAGUGUCCCAAGUGGUAGAUCAAUGAGUGUGAAUGGGCCCAAAGAUAAAUUGGGUCGAAGCACACCUCUAGGUAAAAUGGAAGGCAGCUAUGAUGAAGGACCCCUACUUCUUCUUGUGAAUGUCUGCUCUAAGAGAACAAACUUUGGGACAUUGUAUUUUAAAUUUCAGCAAUGUAUUUGCAUUCUACUUCUCAUUUUGGGCAUUUAUUUAACAAAUAGGUUUUACAUAUCUAGAAGGUAUGAGGCUAAAGUCAGAAAAAUGCUGUAACAGUCAUGAUUUUGUCCACAUGGAAGAUAAUAUUUUAUAAUUUACUGUAAGAAAUACUAUAGGGUGCUAUUCAGCAUAUUUUUGGAAUUUUUGGCUUUAGUAACAGAAUGAGCCAAUACUAUACAAGAGUAGUUUACAGUAGAUGCUGGAAAGAACACAGAACUUGGAGCCCACUUAAAGGAUUUAAGGAAUUCUCUAAUAUGAUUAUUGCUGUGUAUUAGAGCCAGCAUUUCUUUCCCCUGUGAAAAUGAACCCAUGAUUUUAUAAUGUAUGUCAUUGGGAAAAUAUGAAUCAACUCAUGGAAUUUGAAAUCGGAACAUAGGGAGAAAAAUAGUUCACAAUUUUUUGAUGAUACAAACAUACAAUUUUUUGAUGAAGGUAAUAUCCUGUAUAAAUUAGCCUCUGAAAUAAAUGGUAAUAUAAUCUGCUUUGUCACACGUUCUUUACAUUGUCCUACAUAUCUGACUUGGAUUUCACCCAUACGUACGGUGCCUAAUAUAACCACUUCUGUGGUUGUGGCAGAAAAGCAUCUUAAAGGAUGAUUUACCCACAUUAACUCUGCUUAGGUUUACGAUUUGUAGAAAGAAUUUUACAACAUUCACUCAGGCAAGCUUUUCAAUAUAAUAGAACAAGAAAGUGUGUUUAAAUUGGUUUUUAAAAUAAGUAUCGGGCUUGUUCCAAAAUAAAUUUUGAUUGAGGCUUGCAAGUCAAUUCCUUUUAUAUUCCUUCAUCCCCUCAGUAAGCCCUACUUAUGUGCUAGGUACUGUGUUAAGAGGUAGAGACAGAAAUAAAGACAGUCACUGCCCAGAAGUAGUUUCUUAUUGAGAUGGAGAGAGACAAGUUAACAUGACCACAGUAGGAUUAUGAUAAAAUAGUUGCUUCGGGAGUUUCAGAAACACCUGGAGUCCUAGCUUAGAGUUGGAAGGAGGAUGAGAGGUUGGAAGGACUUCCAGAAAGCAGAGGAAGUUAAGGGGACUAGCAUUCCAGGAACAGAAAAGGUAUGUGCAAAGGAAAGAAAGCCAGAAAGUACCGAAGUUUGAGAAAUCAAGGGUUGUCUUAUUCUUUAUCACAAAUACCAAAUGACUUCCUUUGUCCCAAGUCCUAAUAAAGUCAUGAGACAGGUAACACAGAGGAUUUUUAGUUGUAUUAAAAUAUGAUUUCUAAAAAGCAUUACUUUGAGAUUAACUUUUAAGUAUUUUGGCCUUUGUACUAUAUCGUUGAGAAGAUAAACCGGGGGGAGGAAAGAGCUAAAAGAAACAAAGAACCGCAGAGCAGCAGAAGGCAAGAGGGAUACAGUGUGAGAAAGCAUGCAGAGAAAGGAAGUGGUUUUACAGAGAUUUACAAGUGAUUUUGUUUUCCUUUGCUCUUUCCUUACCUCCUUUUCUCCUUUCCUGCCCCUUCCCUCCUUCCCUCCUUUCUUCCUAUCUCCCUUCCAUCCCCCAUCCUUUCUCUCUUAUUCCUAAAGAGACCUCCAGAAACUUAUGUGCUGUAAGAAACCUACUCCCACUGAUGGUGAAUGGGGUAAACCUUUUUCUGAUCCGUCUCGUCACUCCCACUUCAGGUACCAGGAGAGGGAGAGGCCAACUGCCACCAUUUAGGGGAAGGAGGAGGCAAGAAAGGAGGUGCUGAGAACUAGCUACUGGGAGAGGCAAGUGUCUGCUUCUGAGAAGGAGGAGGAAUUCAGGAGGAAGAAGGAAAAAGAAGAAAGGAUAGGGAGGAAAAAGGCAACACUUCAAAUCUCUAUAUGACUGUACAAUUCAUUUCUGCUUUGGGAAGAUGGAAAAAACUUUUUGUCGCUUUCUGAGAGACAGCAAGAACCUUUCAAGCAUGGGGAUGUGACUUGGGGUAACUAUGUAACUAGAAACACUGAUAGAAAAAUAACCUUUCCUAUUCCUUUUAUUUUUUUUAACAACAGCAACAAAAAAGAGCAUGAGGAAUUUGAAGACUGAGAGAUGAGUUGUGUAGCAUCAACAUUUUCUUUCUGCCUGAUCUUAAUACCUGAUGAAUUAAAAGUACCGGUGACAGUAACAGUUUCCCUCUGUCUUCUGACUGUCGACACUGAAGGAUGAUAAAGAUGAGUAGAAGAAGGUCAAACCCGACCAUCAGCAGAACAGGGCCUACUGGCUUUGUGAGCAUGUCACAGUAUUGUCUGGAGCUGUUUGGCUUAUAGAAGAGGGAAGGUACUAUGAGGUCUGCUCUGGGAUGGAUCAGCAUUUGGAUCCGCCCACAUUCAAAGCUAAAUUUUGUCGGGCUGGCCUGAAGCCAAAAUAAGAGAUAUAGAAGAUAAUUUAUUCUUCCAUGCACUUGCUGGAAUUUGUUAUGUAAGUUCAUGCUUCUGUCAUCACUACUACAGACUGGCUCCAUUGUGAAAAACUUACAAUUAUAACUUCCAACUUGUUAUUCUUUGAAUAAAACAGAACACAUCUAUACACAAAGAAUUUAUUUGUGCAACAUGAGAAAAGCAUCUGUUUUCUAUACUAUGAGACUUGACUUAAUUAAUGUUGGCUUAUCCACCAGAGGCUGAGCUGGAAUGGCAUCUUCAUCAUUAAGGGCUGACCUAUUGGCUUGGCAUUGAAAUCAAUUUAGAACAAAUGGUCUCCAUUUCAAGUCAGCUUGAACCAUCUAAGCCCCAGAACAUGACACAG